rnacentral:rRNA from 1 species
CGGGAAUUCGAUUAGAGUUUGAUCAUGGCUCAGAACGAACGCUGGCGGCAUGCCUAACACAUGCAAGUCGAACGAACCCUUCGGGGUUAGUGGCGCACGGGUGCGUAACGCGUGGGAAUCUGCCCUUGGCUUCGGAAUAACAGUUAGAAAUGACUGCUAAUACCGGAUGAUGUCUUCGGACCAAAGAUUUAUCGGCCAGGGAUGAGCCCGCGUAGGAUUAGGUAGUUGGUGGGGUAAAGGCCUACCAAGCCGACGAUCCUUAGCUGGUCUGAGAGGAUGAUCAGCCACACUGGGACUGAGACACGGCCCAGACUCCUACGGGAGGCAGCAGUGGGGAACAUUGGACAAUGGGCGCAAGCCUGAUCCAGCAAUGCCGCGUGAGUGAUGAAGGCCUUAGGGUCGUAAAGCUCUUUUACCCGGGAUGAUAAUGACAGUACCGGGAGAAUAAGCUCCGGCUAACUCCGUGCCAGCAGCCGCGGUAAUACGAAUCACUAGUGAAUUCGCGGCCGCCUGCAGGUCGACCAUAU